rnacentral:rRNA from 1 species
CGGUCAAGGUGAAGAGAUGACUAGUGGCGGACGGGUGAGUAACGCGUGGGAACCUGCCGUAUGCAGGGGACAACAGUUGGAAACGACUGCUAAUACCGCAUAAGCGCACGGUUCUGCAUGGAACAGUGUGAAAAGAUUUAUCGGCAUACGAUGGACCCGCGUCGUGAUUAGCUAGUUGGUGAGGUAACGGCCCACCAAGGCAACGAUCAGUAGCCGGCCUGAGAGGGUGAACGGCCACAUUGGGACUGAGACACGGCCCAAACUCCUACGGGAGGCAGCAGUGGGGAAUAUUGCACAAUGGGGGAAACCCUGAUGCAAGCGACGCCGCGUGAGUGAAGAAGUAUUUCGGUAUGUAAAGCUCUAUCAGCAGGGAAGAAAAUGACGGUACCUGACUAAGAAGCCCCGGCUAACUACGUGCCAGCAGCAGC